UACGUAUGGUGCAAGCGUUAUCCGGAUUUACUGGGUGUAAAGGGAGCGUAGACGGAUGGAUAAGUCUGAAGUGAAAGCCCGCGGCUCAACUGCGGGACUGCUUUGGAAACUGUGCAUCUUGAGUACGGGAGGGGCAGGCGGAAUUCCUGGUGUAGCGGUGAAAUGCGUAGAUAUCAGGAGGAACACCGGCGGCGAAGGCGGCCUGCUGGACCGAAACUGACGUUGAGGCUCGAAAGCGUGGGGAGCAAACAGG
rnacentral:rRNA from 1 species